UACGUAGGUGGCAAGCGUUGUCCGGAUUUAUUGGGCUUAAAGGGUGCGUAGGCGGCUUUGUAAGUCAGUGGUGAAAUAUGGCAGCUUAACUGUCAGGGUGCCAUUGAUACUGCGGAGCUUGAGUACAGAUGAGGUAGGCGGAAUUGACGGUGUAGCGGUGAAAUGCUUAGAUAUCGUCAAGAACACCUAUAGCGAAGGCAGCUUACUAGGCUGUAACUGACGCUGAGGCACGAAAGUGUGGGGAUCAAACAGG
rnacentral:rRNA from 1 species